rnacentral:rRNA from 1 species
CCGUUCGGAGGUAAACGGGUGGGAGCGCGAAGGUCGAACGGAUGGGGAGGGAUUCAACUUGGCGAGAUGGCGUUGCUUGGCUGGCGUUCUAGGCACCUUCGGCUUUGCCGACGGAGGCAUAGGCGUUCUAGCUGGGUGAGUCGGCUUGUCUUUGCCUUGUGCAUUUCCCUAUUCCCCCUCUCCUAGUAGGACGCCGUGACCGGCUGUUGAGGAGAGCCCAGUAGCUGGCGAGGGUAGCUGCGCGGAUGAGUGUGGGAUUCGUUCCCUGCGUCCGGUCUGUCUGCCCCUUGCCGUGCAGCGGGUGCUCUCCCCGGCCGAGGAGCUGUGCGAGAGGGGCCCUUGUGGUCCCCCUCGUCCAAGCGCGUGCCCUCGAUUUGUCGGUGCGGGUCGAAAGAUCCCAACGGGUGGCGGUGGUUGGUGGCUGGCCGGCUUUAUGCCGAUCCAGCUGCCUGUCCGCGUCAGCCGCCGUCGGUCAGGGUGCGGACUCCCGCAUUUUGGGGCGCUGGGGGUCAACGGCGAGUAGGUCGGUUUCCCACCCGACCCGUCUUGAAACACGGACCAAGAAGUCUAACGUGUGGGCGAGUCUUCGGGGACUUUGUGAACCCUUUGAAGGCGUAAUAAAAGUAAAGGCCCUGCCUGCGUUGCUUCGGCAUUGCGGUAGGGCUGCAGUGGGAUCCCUCGUCUAAUGGCGGGGGCGCACCACUGGCCCGUCCUAUGACCGCUUCGUCGGUCGGGCGGAGCAAGAGCCCACGCGUUGGGACCCGAAAGAUGGUGAACUAUGCCUGGGCAGGACGAGGCCAGAGGAAACUCUGGUGGAAGUCCGCAGCGGU